rnacentral:misc_RNA from 1 species
UUUCCGUAGGUGAACCUGCGGAAGGAUCAUUCAUAAUAAAGUGUUUUAUGGCACUUUUCAAAAAUCCAUAUCCACCUUGUGUGCAAUGUUAGAUCUCGUCAAUCUUGGCGAGAUUUUUAUACAUCAACUCAUUUUUUAACUAAUUUGUCUGAAAAAUAUUAUGAAUACUUAAUUCAAAAUACAACUUUCAACAACGGAUCUCUUGGCUCUC